CAGCCGCAACAACAACUGCAACCAUUGCAGCAGUAAGAGCAGCAGCAGGAGCAGCAGGACCAAGAGCAGCAACAGCAGGAGCAGCAGCAGCAGCAAGAGAUUAACGAACGUCGAAUACACGGAAAAUCUCGUGCACGGUGGUAUCGCCAACGGGCGGGUUUGACCCGCUAUAGUUGGAGAGGAAGAAUGAACAGAGGAAGAGGAAAUGAGAGAGGCAGAGGACAAGAGAGAGGAAGAGGACGAAGGGGACGAGGAAAAGACCUCCCUAAAUUUAUAAAUAUUAAUAUGUAAUAUUAAGGGGAUCCGGGAGUGACAGAGUUACCGACAUUUUUUUGGGAACUUGAAUUUUCGAAUUGGAGUAACAGAAUGCAAAAUCCUUUUACAGGAUUAAAGUACGCACAAAAA